rnacentral:rRNA from 1 species
CCUACGGGGAGCUGCAGUGGGGAAUAUUGGACAAUGGGGGAAACCCUUAUCCAGCGACGCCGCGUGAGGGAAGAAGGUUUUCGGAUUGUAAACCUCUGUCAGUGGGGACGAUAAUGACGGUACCCACGGAGGAAGCCACGGCUAACUACGUGCCAGCAGCCGCGGUCAUACGUAGGUGGCAAGCGUUGUCCGGAAUUAAUGGGGGUAAAGGGAGCGUAGGCGGGAUUUCAAGUCAGAAGUGAAAAUUAUGGGCUCAACUCAUAACCUGCUUUUGAAAAUGUUAUUCUUGAGUGAAGUAGAGGCAAGCGGAAUUCCUAGUGUAGCGGUGAAAUGCGUAGAUAUAUGGAAGAACACCAGUGGCGAAAGCGGCUCUCUGGUCUGUAACUGACGCUGAGGUUCGAAAGCGUGGGUAGCAAACAGGAUUAGAUACCCGAGUAGUC